rfam:Porphyromonas sp. oral taxon 279 str. F0450 ctg120007683482, whole genome shotgun sequence.
AGCCACGUUGUCGAUUGGGAAACUCAUCGUACUAAGUUGAAAACCGAGGCAACCCUCUCCUCCAAUGGCGGGCUACCGAGGCCUUCGGGUCUCCUCGCCUAUGGCGAGCAGAGUAGAUUACAAAGGGGGCGGGGAUCUCAAAUCCUGUUUUUCGGAGUUUUCACUUAAUCUGCUCGUGGCUCCCCCA